rnacentral:rRNA from 1 species
AUGGUGAAAUGGGUUGACAUCUGCUUGCCGAAGGACCGAGGUGGGUUGGGCAUCCCUGUGUCUUGCCGUAUGAAUGUUGCGCUCAUGCUUCGUUGGGUUUGGCGGAUCUUGUGAGGAGAUGGAGGUUUGUGGCUGCAGCUGAUUGAGUCCAAGUACUUGCAGGGCCAUCCCCUCUUGGCUUGCUCGCACUCGGUUGGGUCCUAG